rnacentral:rRNA from 1 species
UACGGAGGGUGCAAGCGUUAUCCGGAUUCACUGGGUUUAAAGGGUGCGUAGGAGGGCAGGUAAGUCCGUGGUGAAAUCUCUGAGCUUAACUCAGAAACUGCCGUGGAUACUACCGGUCUUGAAUACCGUGGAGGUGAGCGGAAUAUGUCAUGUAGCGGUGAAAAUGCUUUAGAUAUGACAUAGAACACCAAUUGCGAAGGCAGCUCACUACCCGAAUAUUGACUCUGAGGCACGAAAAGCGUGGGGGAUCAAAACAGG